CCUCCGUCUUCCUCGGCAUCCUUUCAAGCUUAUUGACAUCCAUAAGGAUCCACUGAAAACGCUGUAGUUCAUCGUCCAGGCCUCUAGGUGGCGCUUGAAAUUCACCAAAAACAGAGAGGAAGAGACGGAGCAUGCGCAGAAAGCUUGCGCUGCAUACAAACAGAUGGAGAAACCGAACACAACUAGAUGAAGACAACAAUGGCAAGUGCAAGGAAACCAGAAUCACUUGUGUGGAUCGAUAAUGAGGUCGAACUGCUGCUGCGACUCACACUCAACUACAAGGCGAGUAAGUAGCAAGAAACACGAACACAAGCAGUAGUCCGCCAUUGUUGUUGUUGUUGUUGUUGAUAUGCUAUGCCGCAAAGUUCAGAGGUCGAGGGGUGGAGCGAUGGCGUUUUCGGAUUUUUCCACCCUGAUACCCGGUUUAAAAAAAGUGUGUUUUCAAGCGCUGCGAUUAAAGGAACAAUGUGGACGAUGGGCCAAAACGAUGCAAAACAUGUGCUUACACUAAAGAGCGUUUCAGUAUGGACGGGGCCUCAGCAACCAGCUACUUUUACACGGUGGUCCAAAAUAAGUAAGAGUGUUGCAAUACUUUCGUUAUCCUGUUUUUUUUUUUUUUAUUUCGUGUUGACUCUCAACCCAACACCCCCCUCAAAAGUCAACACGUAUGCAGCAGCCUUCAGUGUUACUCUCACCUUGUGUCGGACAUUAAAGACUUUUCUCUCACUGUCUGCAGCUUUGAACAGGCCGUCUCUGCUGCUGUCCCGCUGACCACUUGAUCACAGGCGUGAUUUGUAGUUGAUGGUUACACCGCACGCUCUCCGUGUCUCCUCUCCAGCCGAUCACCACGAGAUUUAAGAUGCCCCCUGCGUUUUUUUUUUUUUUUUUAGUUAAGCACAGACGGCACCCUCCCCACCACCACCACCACCACCCCGAAGCUGUGAGCUGUGAGCUCUCAGCCGCCUGGAGCUCUUUAUUUUUUUCGUGGCACGCUGCCCUGAGGAUAUUUUAGUGCUGGGGGAUAGGCGGGCAUGUGCCAGAGUGUGCCGGGAAGAGGCUGUUUUUUAUUUUUUUAUUUUCAGCAGCUAAUGAGUUAAAAUCAGCUGUCAUUGAGGUAGAAAUGUGCACUGAAUGUACCUUAAAUCUGUGUCAUUUAGUUUAUUUUAAUCAGGAUUACUGUGUUUUUUACCUGCUUUUUUUAAUUGGUCUGUGUUUCCAACCUUUUUUCAUCACACCUCUUACAUGGCUUGGUCAACUUAACAUUGAAAGAAAUGUGAUGUUUCACUUAUUUAUUGUUUACUUUCUACUUAAUUUAAACUUUUGUUUUUCUGUGUUAACUCAUUUUAAGCACUCUCAGUUGCAAUGCAUGGUGUUCAAACAUUGGACUAUGAGGCAUGUCCUGGUUAUCGUGCCGAUAAAUACACAAAAGCCACAAGGUGACACUGUAGCACAUGGAUCCAAGGGCAGCGCCGGGGCCCCUCAACAAAAUACCAGCUCCCCUGCAAGUUGAUCCCAUCCUGGUGUAAUGAGCAACCACCUCUCUCUCGUUGAAUAUUUACAUCCCAAUAAGAGAUGAAUGAUUUCAGAGCAGCAGUGCAGCAGUGCUUGUUUCUCUCCCUCCCUCUCUUUCAAGGAAAUUGCCCGACUUCAGCAGGAAGUUUUUUUUUUUCUAAUGCGGGGCGAAGGGCGCCUUGUAAAUUAGGGGGGCGAAGGUACCAAGAGUGGAUCUGAUGGACUUCCAAAUGAGGGCUGAAACUGGACCAGACUUUACUCCAGACAAUCUGCUUUGAUCUCCCAAUCUCCCCUGUGAUACCCAGCGCUGGGAAAGCCUCCUCUACACCUUGUAGCCCUAAAGCAGAUGAGGCAGGAGGGUUUCACUACCAUCCAACACCCCCCCCCACCCCCACCCCCCCCACCCCCACCCCCACCCCCACACACACACCCUUCCUCAUCCUCCUCCUCUCCACACUGCCCAUCUUUCCUUUACACACACACACAUUCACCAUCCACACCCACACUGGACCCUCUUUUGAAAGUCUGCGGCUUGAUUUAAAAUUCCUUCUUCAGAGCGUGUCAUGCAUUUUAUAUGCAUGGCGAGUGGGAGAAGAAGAGGAGGGAUUGCGUGGGGCUCCAGCCCAAAUGAACUUCCCUACGCUGUUGGUCUCCUCAGGGAUACACACACACACACACACACACUUCUUUCUUUCACUCCCCUCAUUUUCUCGCACCCACUCAACUCUUUCAACAUUAGUUUUACCGCAUCAUGCUUUUUCACAAAUUCCACCGAGCAGCAAGAGUGCCUUGGCCCUUUGAAGACAAGUGUGAUCAGAACAGAGGCAAGGGGUGUGUAAAGAGAGAGAGAGAGAGAGAGAGAGAGAGAGAGAGAGAGAGAGAGAGAGAGAGAGAAAAAAAAAAACCUGGCCGCGGGGCAUUUGGGUUUUUUUUUUUUUUUUUUCUUGCACUCGUGUUUAGCAGCGUAUGGAGCAGAAGGAGGGAGGCUGACAAGUGCAGUGUUUGGGGACAGCUUUGAUGUCUGACGGGGCGCGGCUGCUGCUCAGGCUCAGUCCUUCACAAGGAGACUUGUCACGUUUGACACAGCCGGGCUUGUAUAUUUACACUCCCCCCCCCCAGCGGCUUCUGGAUUGAUAACGGAUAAUCAACAAAAAAGAGCACCGUCGAUAUACUCUUCUCUCCAUUCUAAACAUCUCUUAUUCUCUUUCUGUCUUGCUGACAAGCUCGGAUGAAGCUGAGAAUCAAUAACCCCAAAAAAAAAAAAAAAAGCAGACGUAACAUGAACUUGGACUGCUUUGAGAAAUCUGGUUUUAUUAGGAACAAUAUGAUCCCGCUAGCUUAUUGUGGAUAUAGCAGUAAACAACAGAAAAAAACACGAUUCACUUUUUUUUUGUUUUAAGUGCUACAGGUUUUUUGUGAUUAUAGACGGUAAAACAGUACAGCAACCAUAGUGCCUACAUUCAUAUAUGCACAGAGAAUAUCAAAAAAAUAAAAUAAAUUACAGUAUA